GACGAACGCUGGCGGCGUGCUUAACACAUGCAAGUCGAACGGAAAGGCCCUGCUUUUGUGGGGUGCUCGAGUGGCGAACGGGUGAGUAACACGUGAGUAACCUGCCCUUGACUUUGGGAUAACUUCAGGAAACUGGGGCUAAUACCGGAUAGGAGCUCCUGCUGCAUGUUGGGGGUUGGAAAGUUUCGGCGGUUGGGGAUGGACUCGCGGCUUAUCAGCUUGUUGGUGGGGUAGUGGCUUACCAAGGCUUUGACGGGUAGCCGGCCUGAGAGGGUGACCGGCCACAUUGGGCCUGAGAUACGGCCCAGACUCCUACGGGAGGCAGCAGUGGGGAAUCUUGCACAAUGGGCGGAAGCCUGAUGCAGCAACGCCGCGUGCGGGAUGACGGCCUUCGGGUUGUAAACCGCUUUCGCCUGUGACGAAGCGUGAGUGACGGUAAUGGGUAAAGAAGCACCGGCUAACUACGUG
rnacentral:rRNA from 1 species